GGUCGUUCCGUGCUUGGGUGAAUGUCUUUGUGUCCUAACACUCAAGAUCAGCACACUGUGUUGACUGCCUGGCACAGUACAGGUGUUAUUUCAGGUGAGGAAACAGAGAUUUAGAGAAACUAAGUACACAGCAAGUUAC
ensembl:miRNA